UCUACAAGCUCAGCUAGGGGAAAAGAACAAAUUGGAACGGAACAGUUUCCAAACAGUGAAAGAGGUUUUUCCAAACUCAUCCCUAACUGAACAUGAGGAUGAAUUGGCAUUAGGCGAACACAGUCAGUUAUUCAGUCUACCACCUGACAGUGUGUUAAAGUUAAAUUCUGUUAGUGCUGCACUAAAAGAAUUGUUAGUAAUAAGUCCAUGCAGCGAAGGAAGUGAACAUUUGUGGGACCGUAUUUGGGCUGAAAAUGGGUGAGGUACGAAAAGCCAGAAAUAGCACAAGUUCAACAUAAAACAUGAAUUAGAAUUUUAGCAGGGGAUCAAGUCAAGUCUGGAAGUGUUACAGGAUGGAAGAGUGAGCCUACAAUUGAAAAACACUGAAAGUGCAUUACCAUUAAGGUAUGAGGUAAAGUAAUAGAGUAUGCAAAUUGUCUAAUGAGAAGUACCAUCUUGUGUGAAUGAAUCCUGUGUAACAGCAAUCCUUUAUAGUUCUGUCACAGCUAGAAGCCUCAAAUAAUUCUGCUUCUCUUUCUAAAGAACAACUUGUCCUUUACGUUCAGAGUGUUGGUGAAGCUGGGUACUUAAAUGGCCCUAAAGAUGUUUCAUUUCGUUGGCAUUGCAGCGAUGAACAUCAUGCAUGGACUCUUUAGGAAAGAAUUUUCAGCAUACUGGGAACACAAUUAUCAACAAGGCAACAUUCAAGGGGUGCUAUUUUAUCAUUCAAGAGCCUUAUACAAUGAUUUUCAUCUGCGAUUUGUAUGGACUUUCCCAAGCUUCUGCCAGAAGUUGAAUCUAUAAGUCAUGUAAGUCACAUGACCAACAAUUGAGAUGCUUAAUGGUGUUGUUUUUCUUUUCUCAGCAUAGGUUAAUAGUAACAUUGGAUCUGAAAAGAUUCUUGGUUGGGGCAAGACACUGAAUAAAUUGUAAUGAUUGAAUGGAUGACAUGACAUUUCUAUACUUAAUUUGGAUUCCCUUGACGGUAUUUUAUAUUUAAAAAAUUGAAGUGCAUAUCUGGGCUCCCUUCCUUUCCGUAGCCCCGUUUCCC